rnacentral:rRNA from 1 species
AGUGAACGCUGGCGGUAGGCCUAACACAUGCAAGUCGAACGGCAGCACAGUAAGAGCUUGCUCUUACGGGUGGCGAGUGGCGGACGGGUGAGGAAUACAUCGGAAUCUACUUUUUCGUGGGGGAUAACGUAGGGAAACUUACGCUAAUACCGCAUACGACCUACGGGUGAAAGCCGGGGAUCUUCGGACCUUGCGCGAUUGAAUGAGCCGAUGUCGGAUUAGCUAGGUGGCGGGGUAAAGGCCCACCAAGGCGACGAUCCGUAGCUGGUCUGAGAGGAUGAUCAGCCACACUGGAACUGAGACACGGUCCAGACUCCUACGGGAGGCAGCAGUGGGGAAUAUUGGACAAUGGGCGCAAGCCUGAUCCAGCCAUACCGCGUGGGUGAAGAAGGCCUUCGGGUUGUAAAGCCCUUUUGUUGGGAAAGAAAAGCAGCAGGUUAAUACCCCGCUGUUCUGACGGUACCCAAAGAAUAAGCACCGGCUAACUUCGUG